GACGAAGGGGGCUAGCGUUGUUCGGAAUUACUGGGCGUAAAGGGCGUGCAGGCGGUCUGUUAAGUGCAGGGUGAAAGCUCCCGGCUCAACUGGGAGAGGUCCUUGCAUACUGGCGGACUUGAGGGGGGUAGAGGAAAGUGGAAUUCCCGGUGUAGUGGUGAUAUGCGUAGAUAUCGGGAGGAACACCUGUGGCGAAGGCGGCUUUCUGGGCCCUACCUGACGCUGAGACGCGAAAGCGUGGGGAGCGAACCGG
rnacentral:rRNA from 1 species